ensembl:lncRNA
GUUAAAAGAGUCGACAUAGAUGUACAGAUACCAUUGUCAAAAUCUGAAGGGAAAAGUAUAGUUUGGACAGAAAGUAAGAACUUCUGGCAAAUGGCAUGGGAUACUGACACAAAAGGGAGACAUUUGUAUAGGGUACAACACACAAUAGAAGCUAAGAGGAGUAGCGGAUUAAAGAGACAAGAGGAGGUUGUUAUUAGUAGAAUACGAACGGGCCACUGCUUUUUAAAUGGUACUCUUUUUAGGAUAGGUAAACAUCCGACUGGGUUGUGUGAUGGGUGCACUGAUAUGGAGACGGUUGAGCAUGUACUCCUUAGUUGUAGGAAGUAUGCAAGGCACAGGAGGGUGAUGUGGGGUGAAAUGAGUGGUGGAAGGGAACUUACAUUUGAACAAGUGGUUAAUGAGUUAAGUCAUGGUGAAGGGAAAGUGGUGGUUUUUCGUUUUUUGAGAAAUACUGGUCUCAUCAAGAGGAUCUAAGGAUUCAGGAGUGACGGACGAUUAACAGCCAGGAGAUGGCAGUAAUGCAACAGUUUUGGAUGCAAGCUGCCGUUAAACUUGACUGAAGAAGAAGAAGAAGAAGGUGCAUCUGGUGAAGUGAAUGUGCUGAAAGGAUCUCCUUGUUGGCUGUUGGAGUGAAUUCUACAUCAGAAACUCUUCACUGAUUACUCGCCUCUCCAACAGCUCCAUCCACCCCAAAUCACAACCCUGCAGACCCUAACCCUUCGUGGAUAUUGUCUUCAAACAGAUUAGUAGUAGUAGAAAGUGCUGUCAAAGCCUUCUUUUAUCUAAAUUUCUUGGUUCUGAUUUUGCAUUUACUUGUUUUGCUGACCUACCAGGUCUGAGAUUACAUUCUUGAACUUUUAUACAAAAGUUUUAUAAAGACAUC